CUUGGCCGCUGUGUUUGCACGCUCUUCACCCUGCUCCUGCCCACUCUGCUUGUCAGCUUUCCUCAGUCCUGAAAGAUCCUUAGUGCCUGGAUUUUGUCAUCCAGCCCUGCAGGAUGCUCCCAUUUGUCCUGAGGAAAGCUGUCCCAGAGGGAGAAGAGGAGAUGGAGGUGGAUAUAGAGAUUGAUAGAGAGGAGGACAUGGAGACGGAGGGAGAAGACACUGGGGAGGAGGAGAUGGAGGUGGAGGUGGAGGUGACGGUGGAAGAAGCGAUGGAUGUGGAUAUGGAAGAGUCCAUUGAGGACAUGGACAUUGAUUAAAAAGGUGCCAUGGACAUCAUGGAGGGAGAUACCACCUUUUUCUACAUGUGUUUUACACUUUGAUGUUGUCUUUAGGAUAUUAGUUUUAGGGCUUUUUGUCUUCUGUAAAUAUGUUUCAUAUAUGUUUUUGUUAGAUAGGUUUUUCUGUAUAUAUGUUCUAUCGAUUGUUGUUGUUACAAAUAUUCUUGCAAUGUAAAUAUAUUCUGUAUUUUUGCUGCUGUUCUUCUCUAAUAAACAAAUUUUAUUUUUCACACCCCAGUUCUCCUUGCAUUUGCUUCAGGCACAGGCAGCAUAUUGCCAAGGUGUAGUUUCCACUUGCUCCAGGUUCCCAGGGCUGGAGGUCACAAGUAGAUGAAGGGGAAAAAAUCCCCAAUUAAGAGUGUCCAUGACACCCAGAGCCAAAAGAAGCCCAGGGAAGCACGUGCUCCAAACCACAGCAGAAAUGUAGUGAGAGCUCUGGAGGGAACAAAAGAAAGAGGAAGCCUGAAGAAAGGAAAAAACGUCUCCCCACAAGUUGUUUUGCUUU